rnacentral:rRNA from 1 species
UAGGGAAUCUUCCACAAUGGACGCAAGUCUGAUGGAGCAACGCCGCGUGAGUGAAGAAGGGUUUCGGCUCGUAAAACACUGUUGUAAGAGAAGAAUGACAUUGAGAGUAACUGUUCAAUGUGUGACGGUAUCUUACCAGAAAGGAACGGCUAAAUACGUGCCAG